rnacentral:misc_RNA from 1 species
AUAAAACAAACCCAUAAAGCCGGUACGAAACCCGAAACAUUGAUCUUUAGUUUACUAACUGGCCCAGCCUUUCAAAUCCGAAACCAUAAACCAAAACUCAAAUCAAAACGUUGAACCGACUCGAGCCGCACAUGAGGGUGAUCACUUUGACUCAGUAAAAUCGGACGGUGCUGACAGUCGCGUCACCUUUAAGCCAAAUGCGAAGUUUGAAAAACACGGAGAAUUAUGUACCCUGCAGCGCAACACAAACACAAACCAAUCGGUACCGCCAAAUCACUCCGCUCAAAAUCCAGAUCAGCCGAAUU